rnacentral:rRNA from 1 species
GAUGAACGCUGACAGAAUGCUUAACACAUGCAAGUCGAUGGGGAAGUGGUGCUUGCACCCUGGCAACCCUGGCGGACGGGUGAGUAACGCGUAAGGGACUUACCUGCAGGACUGGGAUAACAGGGGGAAACUCCUGACAAGACCGGAUAAUGUCAUGGAGCUGCAUGGCUUUAUGAUGAAAGGAGACGCCUGCGGAGAGCCUUGCGUCCUAUUAGCUAGUUGGUGAGGUAAUGGCUCACCAAGGCGAAGAUAGGUAGCCGGCCUGAGAGGGUGGACGGCCACAAGGGGACUGAGAUACGGCCCUUACUCCUACGGGAGGCAGCAGUGGGGAAUAUUGGACAAUGGGGGCAACCCUGAUCCAGCAAUUCUGUGUGCACGAAGAAGGUUUUCGGAUUGUAAAGUGCUUUCAGCAGGGAAGAAGUAAGUGACGGUACCUGCAGAAGAAGCGACGGCUAAAUACGUG